rnacentral:rRNA from 1 species
AGGCGGAUGGGUAAGUUGGGCGUGAAAGCUCCGUGCUCAACGCGGAGAGGUCGUUCAAUACUGCCGAUCUGGAGGACAUCAGAGGGGCGUGGAAUUUCCGGUGUAGCGGUAAAAUGCGCAGAUAUCGGAAGGAACACCAGUGGCGAAAGCGGCGCCCUGGGGUGGACCUGACGCUGAGAGACGAAAGCUAGGGGAGCAAACAGGAUUAGAGACCCUGGUAGUCCUAGCUAUAAACGAUGGAUGCUAGGUGUGGGGCCGAGAAGGCUCUGUGCCGCAGCCAACGCGCUAAGCAUCCCGCCUGGGGACUACGGCCGCAAGGCUAAAACUCAAACGAAUUGACGGGGCCCCGCACAAGCAGCGGAGCGUGUGGUUCAAUUCGAUGCUACACGAAGAACCUUACCUGGGCUUGACAUGGAGGUGGUAGGGAAGCGAAAGCGGACCGACCCUUCGGGGAGCCUUCACAGGUGCUGCAUGGCUGUCGUCAGCUCGUGCCGUGAGGUGUCGGGUUAAGUCCCGUAACGAGCGCAACCCUUGCCCUUAGUUACAAGUGUCUAAGGGGACUGCCGGCGGUAAGCCGGAGGAAGGUGGGGAUGACGUCAAGUCAGCAUGGCCCUUAUGUCCAGGGCUACACACACGCUACAAUGGUCGGUACAAAGGGCAGCGAAGCCGCGAGGUGGAGCGAAUCUCAUCAAAGCCGAUCGUAGUUCGGAUUGCAGGCUGCAACUCGCCUGCAUGAAG